GAUGAACGCUAGCUACAGGCUUAACACAUGCAAGUCGAGGGGCAGCGGGGAGGAUGCUUGCAUUCUCCGCCGGCGACCGGCGCACGGGUGCGUAACGCGUAUCGAACCUACCUCAUACUCGGGCAUAGCCUUGCGAAAGUAAGAUUAAUUCCCGAUGUUCUGCCAAUUUCGCAUGAGAUUGGCAGCAAAGUAUUUCGGUAUGAGAUGGCGAUGCGUCCCAUUAGUUAGUUGGCGGGGUAACGGCCCACCAAGACAUCGAUGGGUAGGGGUUCUGAGAGGAAGGUCCCCCACAUUGGAACUGAGACACGGUCCAAACUCCUACGGGAGGCAGCAGUGAGGAAUAUUGGUCAAUGGACGAGAGUCUGAACCAGCCAAGUAGCGUGCAGGAUGACGGCCCUCCGGGUUGUAAACUGCUUUUAGUGGGAAUAAAGUUCGGGGACGUGUCCCGAUUUGUAUGUACCAUCAGAAAAAGGACCGGCUAAUUCCGUGCC
rnacentral:rRNA from 1 species